rnacentral:rRNA from 1 species
CAAAUAGCGUAUAUUAAAGUUGUUGCAGUUAAAAAGCUCGUAGUUGAAUUUCGGGGUUAGUAGGUUGGUCAUGCCUCUGGUAUGUACUGGUCUCACUGAUUCCUCCUUCCUGAUGAACCGUAAUGCCAUUAAUUUGGUGUUGCGGGGAAUUUGGACUGUUACUUUGAAAAAAUUAGAGUGUUUAAAGCAAGCUAACGCUUGAAUACAUUAGCAUGGAAUAAUGAAAUAGGACGUUCGAUCCUAUUUUGUUGGUUUCUAGGAUUGACGUAAUGAUUAAUAGGGAUAGUUGGGGGCAUUAGUAUUCAAUUGUCAGAGGUGAAAUUCUUGGAUUUAUUGAAGACUAACUACUGCGAAAGCAUUUGCCAAGGAUGUUUUCAUUAAUCAAGAACGAAAGUUAGGGGAUCGAAGACGAUCAGAUACCGUCGUAGUCUUAACCAUAAACUAUGUCGACUAGGGAUCGGAUGAUGUUAAUUUUUUAAUGACUCAUUCGGCGCCUUACG